GUACGUAGGCGCCAUGAAUGGUGAAUCGUGCAUGCUAUUGGUACGGGUCGGUAGUAUCUUUGGGCGAUU
rfam:Glossina brevipalpis unplaced genomic scaffold Scaffold73, whole genome shotgun sequence.